CCCUUAGAUGUUCUGGGCUGCACGCGCGCUACACUGGUGCGUUCAGCGAGUUUAGCACCUUAACAGAUAUGUUUGGGUAAUCUUCUGAAAACGCACCGUGAUGGGGAUCGAUUAUUGUAAUUAUUAAUCGUCAACGAGGAAUUCCUAGUAAGUGUGAAUCAUCAGUUCGCGCUGAUUACGUCCCUGCCCUUUGUACACACCGCCCGUCGCUCCUACCGAUUGGGUGAGCCGAUGAAACUCUCGGAUGUAGGCUAUUCAUAGCCCGCAGAAGAGAUUUGAAUCGUAGCGCUUAGAGGAAGGAGAAGUCGUAACA
rnacentral:rRNA from 1 species